UUUGAAAAUAACAAAUGGCCAACGUCUUAAGUUGUCAUCAAACUCGUUGAAGAAAAAUAGAGUUAAAUAAAUGAACGUUAUUCAAGAAAACUAAUAAAUCUUUACCCACAAGUUAUGUUAAAUAAGAAAAUAAAAUUAUCAUCCGACUCACUGCGAAAAAGAAAGGAUUGGAGUUCAAUGUGGUAUCUGGAUUAUGGAUUGUCUCUUGUGUUCGGGGCACUAACUAAUUUUCUGGAUUGUCUACAGGAUUCUUCUUACGGGAAAUUGAACUGCUUGUUCUUCGGAAAUAGGGUCUUGGAUGAUCUCGAAGAAGUAUCAGUAGUUCUCGGAAUAGGUUGUAGGAUGAUUCUCUUUUUAUUUUAAUAUCACAUACAUUGGAGUACAUGCCAAAUUUCAACAAUGAGUAAAGUUAGAAAAAUUCAAACUUAAAUCAAGGAUUUCUUCCUCAAAAUAACGUUAAAACCUUAAAAGAUGGAUGAAAAAUGUGUUUUAGGAGCUGAACUAUAAUAAUUGAUACUUUUGGAAGCAAACAAAACGGUUUAAGAUAAGAUUUUCACCAACAAAAAAUCUGUCACAAAUUCUAGGUUAUGUUCA